AACGAACGCUGGCGGCGUGCCUAACACAUGCAAGUCGUGCGAGAAAGUUCCUUCGGGAGCGAGUAAAGCGGCGCACGGGUGAGUAACACGUAGGUAACCUGCCCCCCAGUCUGGAACAACUAGAGGAAACUCUAGCUAAUGCCGGAUGAGACCACGAUCCCUUCGGGGGUUGCGGCCAAAGAUGGCCUCUACUUGUAAGCUAUCGCUGAGGGAUGGGCCUGCGGCCAUUAGCUUGUUGGUGAGGUAACGGCUCACCAAGGCUGUGAUGGCUAGCUGGUCUGAGAGGAUGACCCGCCACACUGGGACUGAGACACGGCCCAGACUCCUACGGGGAGCAGCAGUGGGGAAUAUUGCGCAAUGGGCGAAAGCCUGACGCAGCGACGCCGCGUGGGGUGAUGAAGGCCUU
rnacentral:rRNA from 1 species